rnacentral:rRNA from 1 species
AACGAACGCUGGCGGCAGGCCUAACACAUGCAAGUCGAGCGAGGACUUCGGUCCUAGCGGCGGACGGGUGAGUAACGCGUGGGAACGUGCCCUUUGCUUCGGAAUAGCCCUGGGAAACUGGGAGUAAUACCGGAUGAGCCCUUUGGGGGAAAGAUUUAUCGGCGAAGGAUCGGCCCGCGUUGGAUUAGGUAGUUGGUGGGGUAAUGGCCUACCAAGCCGACGAUCCAUAGCUGGUUUGAGAGGAUGAUCAGCCACACUGGGACUGAGACACGGCCCAGACUCCUACGGGAGGCAGCAGUGGGGAAUCUUAGACAAUGGGGGAAACCCUGAUCUAGCCAUGCCGCGUGAACGAUGAAGGCCUUAGGGUUGUAAAGCUCUUUCAGCUGGGAAGAUAAUGACGGUACCAGCAGAAGAAGCCCCGGCUAACUCCGUG